AUUGAACGCUGGCGGCAUGCCUUACACAUGCAAGUCGAACGGCAGCACGGGGCAACCUGGUGGCGAGUGGCGAACGGGUGAGUAAUGCAUCGGAACGUGCCAUUGAGUGGGGGAUAACGUAGCGAAAGUUGCGCUAAUACCGCAUAUUCUGUGAGCAGGAAAGCAGGGGACCGCAAGGCCUUGCGCUCUUUGAGCGGCCGAUGUCAGAUUAGCUAGUUGGUGAGGUAACGGCUUACCAAGGCGACGAUCUGUAGCGGGUCUGAGAGGAUGAUCCGCCACACUGGAACUGAGACACGGUCCAGACUCCUACGGGAGGCAGCAGUGGGGAAUUUUGGACAAUGGGCGCAAGCCUGAUCCAGCCAUGCCGCGUGAGUGAAGAAGGCCUCGGUUGUAAGGACUCUUUCGGUCCGGGAACGG
rnacentral:rRNA from 1 species